CCUCCGGGCUCCGGCUCCUCCUCCUGCUGCUGCUGCUGCUGCUGCUGCUGCCGCCGCGGCUCGGCGGGGAGAGAAAAGGGCUGGGGCGAAGGUGGGGGUGGCAGUUCCGCAGGGAAUGGCUGGCCGGAGGGAGGAGAGGAGGGGACGCCGGGAGGACUCGGUACCGCCCGGCCGAGGCGCCGAGAGCGCGGAGCGGGGGGUGGCAGCGGCGCCAACUCGCGACACUGGGGAGGGGGAGGGGGCAGCCAAACCACCUCCGGAGGCCUAGGGGAGGUGGGACGUGUCCACUGUGGCCUUCACGGGGGAGAAAGGGGUCUGACUAGAAAGAGAGGUCUCUUCAGUCUUGAGGUAAGAGGCCUUCUGUUGAUGAACAACUUGCAGAGGUGACGCCAAAUGCAGUCGUGAAACGAAAUGAAAAAGUCAGGCUAUCGCUCCGCAAGUAGAUAAAAGGAGUGCGGAACCGGGUGAACGCUCCCCCCUUUAGAUCUUCGCGCGGUGGUUGCGCCUAUCCGGAGCCUGCGCAGUCGCGUCUUCCCAACCGUAGCCUUGGCCGCCUAGACCCCCUCAGCGUCGUCCCACGCCGCUCCCCUCCCCCACUGUCGCGAAGCUCCCGCCCGAGCGGACCACGUGCCGCGAACCGGGCGGGGAGAGACCACUCUUGCACCCCUUCCGGCCUCCUCGAACACUCCAGGCUGCAGCCCAAGAUAAGAAAACUGAGGCUCCCAGAGGCAAAAUCACCCGUGCCAAGUCUCACCAGAGUUAUUAAAUCUUGUGCCACUCAUAUCCUCCAUCUGAUCACAAAAAAUGUGCAUCGCAAGAUGGUGUUCUUGUGCUGCGGUGAAGCCCAUCUUUAG
rnacentral:lncRNA from 1 species